rnacentral:rRNA from 1 species
UUGAGAGUUUGAUCCUGGCUCAGAGCGAACGCUGGCGGC